rnacentral:rRNA from 1 species
GACGAACGCUGGCGGCGUGCUUAACACAUGCAAGUCGAACGGAAAGGCCCUGCUUUUGUGGGGUGCUCGAUUGGCGAACGCGUGAGUAACACGUGAGUAACCUGCCCUUGACUUUGUGAUAACUUCAGGAAACUGGGGCUCAUACCGGAUAGGAGCUCCUGCUGCAUGGUGGGGGUUGGAAAGUUUCGGCGGUUGGGGAUGGACUCGCGGCUUAUCAGCUUGUUUGUGGGGUAGUGGCUUACCAAGGCUUUGACGGGUAGCCGGCCUGAGAGGGUGACCGGCGACAUUGGGACUGAGAUACGGCACAGAAGGCAACGGGAGGCAGCAGUGGGGAAUAUUGCACAAGGGGCGGAAGCCUGAUGCAGAAACGCCGCGGGCGGGAUGACGGCCUUCGGGUUGUAAACAGAUUUCGCCUGUGACGAAGCGGGAGUGACGGUAAUGGGUAAAGAAGCACCGGCUAACUACGUG